ensembl:lncRNA
UUUUAUUAAUUACAUUUGGUGUGUUCGUCUUUUUCAGUCUGUUAAAUAAGGUGCAGUUAGCUCUCUUCACAAAUAAGUUGGUUAAAACAGCCUCAUUCUUUAGGUUGUAACGUUUUUAACGAACCCCCAUAGAUUUAGUUUCAGCUGUCGGCAAGAUCAAAGGAGCCAUUUUACCGCCUCUGACCGAACACGGGAGAAAAAGAGUCACAUUUGUCCAGGUCUUGUGGGUUAAUUAAGAGAAAGGAGGGAGGGAGAAACUGAGGAUUAAACAUAGGCUAUGUCCCCACAUACACGGGUAUUUUUGAAAACUGAGAUUUUCUGUUUUAAAAAACAAUCCCGUCCACACUUAAAUGCAGAAAUGAAGGAAAACGCUGCUAGGAACAUGCCAAAGCAACAGGUGGCGAUAUAUUCCUAACCGUGUAGAAAUGUUGGCCAAUCAGAAGUCUAGAAGCCUCGGUGGGAAAUAGCAAACAAAGAUGGGGCAUAAAAGCAGAACCGAGUCAUAUGUGUGGGGGGACAGUACCUGUGUGUAUAUGUAAGCAUUUAAACAAUGCAGAGAGUACAAUUAACAGUAUUGUAGAAAUGCAUUUCACCAAAACAAUAACGUGGCGCACAGUGUGACGUCAAAAAAGGCCCUGCGUUUUCUCCGUUUUCCUCGAUGCAAAAACUGAGUUUUCGAAAAUGUCCUGGCAAGCGUUUUUAGAAAUCUCCGUUUUCAGUCACCGAAAACGCCGUUUAAGUGUGGACGAAAGGUGCAAACGCAUAGAAAAAUCUCCGAUUUUAAAAGUACCUGUGUACAUGUGGACAUAGCCCAAGAAUAAUAAGAACUCCUAAACAGGAGACUUUAAUUUUUAAGAACUGUUUAACAAAGGCUUGUUUGUGCCAACCUAAAUCUGCAGCACAGUUUAAAUUCUCACUUUGUGGAAAAUUAAUGAAAUAAACAACAGCCCACCUUCACAUAAAUAAAAUAUGGCAAGUGAAAUAGAAGCUUGGUUUUGCCUUUGCUGAGUGAAACAGAACUUCGGUUUUGCCUUUGCUGGAUACUGAUCUGAUCGUCUCAAGUCUGG